CGAACGCUGGCGGCGUGCCUAAUACAUGCAAGUCGAACGCUUCUUUUCCCACCGGAGCUUGCUCCACCGGGAAAAGAGGAGUGGCGAACGGGUGAGUAACACGUGGGUAACCUGCCCAUCAGAAGGGGAUAACACUUGGAAACAGGUGCUAAUACCGUAUAACAAUCGAAACCGCAUGGUUUCGUUUUGAAAGGCGCUUUACGGUGCCGCUGAUGGAUGGACCCGCGGUGCAUUAGCUAGUUGGUGAGGUAACGGCUCACCAAGGCCACGAUGCAUAGCCGACCUGAGAGGGUGAUCGGCCACAUUGGGACUGAGACACGGCCCAAACUCCUACGGGAGGCAGCAGUAGGGAAUCUUCGGCAAUGGACGAAAGUCUGACCGAGCAACGCCGCGUGAGUGAAGAAGGUUUUCGGAUCGUAAAACUCUGUUGUUAGAGAAGAACAAGGGUGAGAGUAACUGUUCACCCCUUGACGGUAUCUAACCAGAAAGCCACGGCUAACUACGUGCCAGCAGCCGCGGUAAUACGUAGGUGGCAAGCGUUGUCCGGAUUUAUUGGGCGUAAAGCGAGCGCAGGCGGUUUCUUAAGUCUGAUGUGAAAGCCCCCGGCUCAACCGGGGAGGGUCAUUGGAAACUGGGAGACUUGAGUGCAGAAGAGGAGAGUGGAAUUCCAUGUGUAGCGGUGAAAUGCGUAGAUAUAUGGAGGAACACCAGUGGCGAAGGCGGCUCUCUGGUCUGUAACUGACGCUGAGGCUCGAAAGCGUGGGGAGCAAACAGGAUUAGAUACCCUGGUAGUCCACGCCGUAAACGAUGAGUGCUAAGUGUUGGAGGGUUUCCGCCCUUCAGUGCUGCAGCUAACGCAUUAAGCACUCCGCCUGGGGAGUACGACCGCAAGGUUGAAACUCAAAGGAAUUGACGGGGGCCCGCACAAGCGGUGGAGCAUGUGGUUUAAUUCGAAGCAACGCGAAGAACCUUACCAGGUCUUGACAUCCUUUGACCACUCUAGAGAUAGAGCUUCCCCUUCGGGGGCAAAGUGACAGGUGGUGCAUGGUUGUCGUCAGCUCGUGUCGUGAGAUGUUGGGUUAAGUCCCGCAACGAGCGCAACCCUUAUUGUUAGUUGCCAUCAUUUAGUUGGGCACUCUAGCAAGACUGCCGGUGACAAACCGGAGGAAGGUGGGGAUGACGUCAAAUCAUCAUGCCCCUUAUGACCUGGGCUACACACGUGCUACAAUGGGAAGUACAACGAGUCGCGAAGUCGCGAGGCUAAGCUAAUCUCUUAAAGCUUCUCUCAGUUCGGAUUGUAGGCUGCAACUCGCCUACAUGAAGCCGGAAUCGCUAGUAAUCGCGGAUCAGCACGCCGCGGUGAAUACGUUCCCGGGCCUUGUACACACCGCCCGUCACACCACGAGAGUUUGUAACACCCGAAGUCGGUGAGGUAACCUUUUUGGAGCCAGCCGCCUAAGGUGGGAUAAAUGAUUUGGGGUGAAGUCCUAACAAAGGUAUCC
rnacentral:rRNA from 1 species